rnacentral:rRNA from 1 species
CUGGACCUCAGUUCAGGCGUGACUACCCGCUGAAUUUAAGCAUAUCAAUAAGCGGAGGAAAAGAAACCAACAGGGAUUCCCCCAGUAACGGCGAGCGAAGCGGGAAUAGCUCGAGCCUUAAAUCUCCGGCG